rnacentral:rRNA from 1 species
CGUACACUCCUGCGGGAGGCAGCAGUGGGGAAUAUUGGACAAUGGGCGCAAGCCUGAUCCAGCCAUGCCGCGUGAGUGAUGAAGGCCCUAGGGUUGUAAAGCUCUUUCACCGGUGAAGAUAAUGACGGUAACCGGAGAAGAAGCCCCGGCUAACUUCGUGCCAGCAGCCGCGGUAAUACGAAGGGGGCUAGCGUUGUUCGGAUUUACUGGGCGUAAAGCGCACGUAGGCGGACUAUUAAGUCAGGGGUGAAAUCCCGGGGCUCAACCCCGGAACUGCCUCUGAUACUGGUAGUCUUGAGUUCGAGAGAGGUGAGUGGAAUUCCGAGUGUAGAGGUGAAAUUCGUAGAUAUUCGGAGGAACACCAGUGGCGAAGGCGGCUCACUGGCUCGAUACUGACGCUGAGGUGCGAAAGCGUGGGGAGCAAACAGGAUUAGAAACCCCAGUAGUCCC